rnacentral:lncRNA from 1 species
AAAAGCUCCACCACAAAAAUAACCAUCGUGUCCUUUAACUUCCCCAUAGGUAACCCGAUCAUAUCCAAAGCCCCCAUAAUAUUAUAUCCCCAUUCUUUCAAGCCUUCAUUUGAUCAUGUGUACAUUAGUGGCAUGUAACUCGGUCGAGUCUAGGAGUCAGAGUUGCUUAAUUAUAAAGAAUGCAAGAUUAUGCAGUCUCCCUUGUUCUGUUUGAUGUGUAUGUAGAAUCUCGGAAAAAAAAUGAAAUGAAAAAAAAUUAUGAAAAACUCGAAAAAAAAGGAAGGAGACAAGUAAA